ACUAAGUCUGCUGCAAGCCAGCCAGCCCCUGAGCUGGUGAACUGGAACCAGCCUGGGAGAAAGGACAUGACCGUGGAGACAGGAAGAGGUUUGCCCUCCAGAGAAGUAAAUUGACUCAAAACAGAUCAACUGAAAACAGAUGCAUUGAAAUGUUGCUGCUGCUUGCCUCGCUGAAGGAAGUCUCUCAGAGGAAAGGCGUGGGUUGUAUCAACUGGAAGGAGAAUAUCAAACUCCAUCUGCCCCAGCUGUGAUAACCGUCUUGCAGCCAAUUGUGGCACAGAACAAGAGUUAGGGACUGAGACCCUAAGGAACAUAUUUGAAAUGCUGCCAAUUUAGCCAGUUUCCUCCUACUCCUGAAUUAAGCUGCAAACUUGUCAAUGAAAAAGCUGGAUAGUAUGGAAGCCCAGUAAAAUGUGAGCUGGAAAAGUAGUGUUACCAUGGCUUAUCAGAAAUCGAAGAGUACGUCCCAUUGAUCUAUCAUAAAGGUCAUUUAAGAGUACUUCCUUUCUUUCAGAUGGGAAAAGGAGGCUUAAAAAAAGUCAAACUCAGGCACCCAAGGCCUAUUGCAGCCACGUUGCCCUUGCCUCAGGGAUGAGCUGUCUGUGGACAGCUGGCCCCUAGCUUUACAUCUUAAAAACAGUGGAAACUACGCCUACAAUUUUACUUUACUUUAGUCCUGCGGCUUCAUUUAAAUGUAUAUGAGAUCUAAAUACAAUCUUCCACUGUGAGCUUUGUAGCAUGGAUGCUCUGUAUGGCUUCUUUAUGUCAUGUUAGUACAAAGUGACAGUAAUCCAUGACUGAAUACUCUUGAUAAAUUUCUGGAGGUCAGUUUGGAGCCAAGUGCAGCAAAUGAUUAUCUGUGGCUGUUCCUUCUACUGGUGCCUGUGGACUUCAAAGAAAAAAAAAAAAUCAAGGCCUGGAUUCCUGAAGAAGUGCUGAGAGGGAGCCUUUCAGAUGGACAUGGAACAAAGUGGAUAUGACACGGCCUGGGAAGAGCAAGACAGAGCUUAUGUUGAUCAAGAAGAGAAGACACUUUGCCUAUUGGUAUCUUCUGUAAGUCUCUUGCACCACCAAAUUUUGAGGGAGCUGGAGCAAGAAAAGCAACAGAAAAUGUAAUUCUGCAGCAUUGCUGUAAAGAAUAAGUUGACACUUCGCUGAACAUGAGACAGCAGUGUGCUCAGGUGGCCAAGAAGGCCACUGGCACCCUGGCUUCUAUCAGAAAUACUGUUGCCAGCAGGAGCAGGGAGGUGAUCAUCCCUUUAUACUCAGCACUGGUGAGGCUGCACCUCAAGUACUGUGUACAGUUUUGGGCCCUUCACUACAAGAAAGAUAUCAAGGCCCUGAAGUGUGUUCAGAGAAGGGCAACAAAACUGUGAGGGGUCUGGAGCACAAAUCUUAUGAGGAUUUGGUGGGGGAAUUGAGAUUGUUCAGUCUAGAGAAGAGGAGGCUCAGGGGAGACCUCAUUGCUCUCUACAACAAAAAGGAGAUUAUGGUGAGGAUCAACCUCUUCUCCCAUGAAACUAGUGAUAGGACUAGAGGGAAUGGCCUCAAGCUGCUCCAGGGAAGGUUCAGGUUGGAAGUUAGGAAAAAUUUCUUCAACGAAAAGUGUGGUCAGACACUGGAAUGGGCUGCGCAGGGAGGUGAUUAAGUCACCAUCUUUGCAGGUGAUCAAGAGACAUUUAGGUGUUGUGCUAAGGCACAUGAUUUAGUGGGGGAGUAUUGGCGAUAGGUUGAUGGUUGGACUGGAUGAUCUUGGAGGUUUUUUCCUACCUUGAUGAUUCUGUGAUUCUAAGAACAAUCAUUGCUAAAACUGGUAGAUCUUUUACCGAGUAACUUCAGAAGCUUGAGUUACAAUUUCAGUUAGUUUAUUUUGGCUAUCAUUUAGCUAAUUAAGGAAUCCAAACAAUGUCAAGUGCUGAUCAAUCACGGAGCUAAACACAAUUCCUGUCCUUCAGAACUUGCUGCUUAACAAACAUACAUAUUCAACAGGUGAGCCAAAAUAAGGUGCAUCUGGAUCCAAAUCAUACCUGGUGUUAUUUAGUUAGUUGUAAUAAAGCCUGUUAUUACUGAGAACAGAGAUGUUGUUUUUGCAGAGCUGCACAAAGGUUGUUGUUGAAAGUCAUUCUGUUUUUGCUCAGGCAUUGCAGCUCAUCUGGAAUUUUGAUUGCUGGAUCUCUGGCUAGUAGAGUAAUGUAUAUAAAAUGCAGUGCUGCAGUGUCAAAUGUUGUGAGGCACAUUAAAGAAUCCAGAAAAC
ensembl:lncRNA